AAUUAAGGAAUUGACAUUAUGGUGAGGGUAAACGUUAUUCUCCACCUUCAGUAUUAGUUGGCGGUGCCAAUUUUUUUUGAACUUAACCUAACUAAACCCAAUCUAACCUAACCAUACCUAACCCAAUCUAACCUAGCACGAUAUUAAUAACCCUUGAAGUCUCUAUCUAAUCUUUUUAACAUUUUGCCACAAGUUUAAAAAUGAGCACCGCAACGUUUAUCAUAUGGUGAGUACUUAUUUUGCUUUGGUUGAACUGUGAACCGCAGGAAUAUGGACUGGGGACACUGGGUUGGAAAUAAGCAGAUUCGAUACAUUACAGAGCAUUUUUCUUCUUGGGAAACUCGUCUCUGUUCCCUACAAUUAAGUAUUUCUUGCUCGAUCGAAAUGCUGGAUCAAAAAUUACGCUCACCAAAAGUCUAGUACAUAAAAGAACACAAAAUAAUGGUUUAACAGCCCUCUGAUGAUCAAUUACCACAGGGGAGCUAGCUCAUUCAUUCUGAGUUGAGUUGUCUAGUAGCCACAAUGGUUAAAAUGCCCUUUAAAGUUUUAACAGACAUACCUCAACACAUCUUAGCAUUUUUUCAGCUCACAAAUCAUAAGGAACAACUUUGAUUUGAUUGCUUUAUGGAAUUCUAGUUCUAGCCUACAUGAAUAACUUACAUGCAUAAACACAAUGUAAACACUAAACUUUCAAAAAACCUAUUCAAUGAAUAUUGAGAACACACUUAGUUAGCAUAAACUUAGAAAUCAUGAUCGGAUCCACGGAAUCGAUUCUUAGUUACAUCGGAUUUAACGGUGCAAUUUUUAAUGUUUUUAGCUCUAAAAUGCGCCGGUUAUAUCUUAACUCAACUGCCCAAAAAAUUGAUACAGAUUUUCAAUAAAAAAACGAAAUUGAUUUUGUUUCUCAUGAUUUGCGAGGUAGAAAAAUGCCAAUAUAAAUUUGGACAUAUCUCGGGAAACUUGAUAGGGCUUUUUGAACACCCGUGUAGUGAGAUAUGAGAGAGCACAUCUUUUGGUCUAGUGGUUUGAUUGAGCUGAAAAUUGAGAUACCAUAGUCUAUGGUCCCAGUGGGCUUUGGAAAUAAAUCGUUAUAGCGACGUGGGUCCAAUCACAUUUGAUGAAGACCGCUAUGUGUACACUCCCUCAAUUCCGACUUGUUCAUUCUCAGCCCUUAGAUCCACGUCCUAUUCCAGAGGUUCAUGGUUGAACAAACUGGGCGUUGCAUAAUUGGGGCUUCUCAAAGACACACAUCUGGCGGCUCUUAAACGAGGCCAAAAAGAAACAUUUCUCCGGCCACAAUUUUUGGCGUUGUCAACAAUAUCAAGAAAGGCUGUCUUAAUCUACCCAUCAUUGAGAAAUGUGCGCCAGUUAUUGUGUAUACUCCAAACAUGUCCAACAAAUAUUGGCAAUACUUGGGUGACUUCUUCAAAACGAUGAACUACCAUGUUUUGAUUUGAAAAUAUGUUUCAGACCAUAUCAUACGCAGUCAAAUCGUGAGAGAUUUCUCUUAAUAAGAUCCCUAUUGAAGAACCUGUGGAGUUGAUCUAACUCACCCUCUUGUCCUGGUACACAUCCUCAAGUCCGGUAUGAAGCUCAAAGUCAUCAUUAGCCUCUGAGGUGAGAGCA